AACGUAGGAGACGAGCGUUAUCCGGAUUUACUGGGCGUAAAGCGCGUGCAGGCGGCAUGGCAAGUUGGAUGUGAAAGCUCCCGGCUUAACUGGGAGAGGUCGUUCAAUACUGCCAGGCUUGAGAGUGGUAGAGGGAAGCGGAAUUCCGGGUGUAGUGGUGAAAUGCGUAGAUAUCCGGAGGAACACCAGUGGCGAAAGCGGCUUCCUGGCCCAUUUCUGACGCUCAGACGCGAAAGCUAGGGUAGCAAACGGGAUUAGAGACCCCGGUAGUCCUAGCCGUAAACGAUGUGAACUUGGCGUUGGCGGGUUUAAAUCCGUCUGUGCCGUAGCUAACGCGAUAAGUUCACCGCCUGGGGACUACGGCCGCAAGGUUAAA
rnacentral:rRNA from 1 species